GUCUGCUUCUGCAUUUUCUAGUCGCGCCGACCUUUUUUCAUCGGUUUUACUAGGCUAAGGAAGCUUUGCUUCAUCGUAGCAACAAUCUCAGAAUCAUCAAUUUGCAUCCCUCUUCACCCUCUUGAAGUCUUGAUUGGAGAAAUGCACACAUCCCUGACUGUGGAAGAAGACGAAAAUCCAGAUCACCCCAUGGCUUUCAGGUGAAACGAGCACCUGUCUUGAUACCAACUUGAAAAUGGUUUUUAUCGACUGGUAAUUCAGCAGACAAAUCUGGAUGUAGAAUUGGAUACCAAUUUCUGGACUGCCCAAAGCAUUCCACCAAUCCCUGCUGACAAAUGAAACUUCUAGCUUGGCCUAGAAGAGUCUUUAGAAAUCGACAUUCCGUAAUUACGCCAGAAACGGCCUAUUGCACCUCCCUUUCCCGCUCCUGAAUUUCCUGCUUGAUGGCGUUUUAGAUGAAACAGCUCCUGAAAUCCUGGUUUGCGCCAGUAGUGAAUUUCCUGAGACUACAUUCAGCUGUCGAUUAUUGAGUCACGCCGUGAAAGCCGCGCCAUUCAUUGUUAUCACAAAUUUCACCCGACCCAGCCUCUUUGCCGGGCAGGCUCUCGUCGUGUUCGUAUCUCUUGUAACAGUGUAGCAGCUUUGACCGAGUCUUUGUACGCUCACCUGCCCACAGAAAAUGUUCAAUAUUCGUGAUCCCGUAAUCGACCAGCUCACCUCCAAUUAGCAUCUAAUCAUUUGAUGUGGCUGCCGUUUUUGAAUCGACAGGCGGUACUAUUGCAGAAGAUUUGGCACCUAACGAAAUCCUCGAAUUUGUUUUGAAAGAUGACGUGGAAUGGACUAAUUAUCUUUUAGUGCUUGAACGAAUAUCUGUUAUUUGACAGCCAUCGAUAAUCCGGGCCGUAGGAAAAGAACUCGUCUUUGCCGAUUUGGAGAAAAACCGCAGUUUAGCUGAGGCUUGGUCUGUUCUCGUUUCUGCUAUUGACAAUCUUCAAUCCAAUACUUGGCCCCUUAUCACUAGCAAAGUGUACAUGUCAUUACAUUUCGGACGUGUCGAAGAAGCUGAUGCAUGCGGAAAUCCCGGGAAAUCCUGACCGGGCUACACGCGUCCAACGUCACGUGUUUGGUUUGCUUAAAGCCAUCAUCGCACGUGACGGUGGAGUUCUACCGUCGGGCACUGGAGUUCUAUUGUCGGUUCUACUGUCUUUGGAGUUCUACGGUCGCCAUACCACAUUCAAUAGAUUGUUCAUCGGGAGGUACCCCUUAGAGUACCUUGCUAACGCAGGCUGUCGGUAGGUGGCUAAAAUGGAUUGUCCCCCAGCCACCAGGUGACGCGAGUGUCUUCGUGACGACGAAAUAUUCGCCAUUUGUUCCCGAGACGCUGACUGAAAGUGUACGAAUUGCGGUGUCGAUCUACAUUUUCAGCCAUGAAAUGGCUAUCUGGGAUAUAAUUUCACUUGGCCAUUAAUAAUGUGACGACUUGGGUCGAAACUGCUGUCCAAUGUCGGCCAUUGUUAGCUGUACGUCUUGGCUGUACGUCUCAUCUUGUGCAGAAACACUUCAGACCUAUUGAUGUUAAGGUUGGAGAUAGAAAUCCCUUUGCUCAACUGUCGCAGAAAUUGAGAACACAACAAAGUCUGAGCUUCAUGACUGUUGUAUCAUCAACAUGGUUUUGUUGCAGCCAGCUGGUGAAAGAUGUGAUCGAGUCAAGUUGAGCUGCAGCUGCUGCAUGCAGUUUAUCGAGCUGGUGUUAUCCCAAGUGUCACUGCAGGAAGACUCAUUGAAUUGGAGUUAAUGGUCAAUUGGAUGUUUGAGCUGUUUAUGGUGUUGCUGUUUGGUGUACAGUGGUUUUGCAGCCCCCUUCCAAUUGAGAGAUGCUCUGAAAUGGAGUUUGGUGCAGACUUGCAGGUCAACAUCACACUUAAAUCGACUUAAAUGUGGAUUUGCCUAUGUUGGUGUCCAUGCAGUAUAUGCAGUGUUGAACGGUUGGGUAAAAUAGUUCAUGCUGCCUGAUGGCUGUCCAACAGUGACGGCCCGGACAAUCCUGAAUCCUUAAGGGUUGCCAUUCCAUCGAGGCUUAAACGAGGAUGAUGCGGAGGUGUUGCUCAUUGAGGGGUUUUGGUGACAAGGAGUCACUGAACGAAACGCUAAACCAAAUGAAAAAAAAAAUAAUAAAAAAGCCAACGAUCCUUUAUAUAUCCGAGCCGAGUCUUUUCCGUCUACAUUCGGUGUGAAGAGCGAAACCCAAAUUUCAACACAUUUUACUGCUUAGCAACGAAAACAAAGCGAGUGUCAAAACAUUGUUUUACUUGCGCAUACUUUAUUGGGGCAGAAACGCGUUGGUCAUGUAACAGGGUGGAUUUUUUUUUUCACUUCUGUUCAUGCAGCAUCAAACGACACGCGAUAGGUUCUGGCGGUAAUCAACUAUUCAAAAUGUAGACAUGUCAAUGUAAAAGACAGGGUAAGAGUAGCCUUAUUCAUUUAUGUCAAAUAGCUGCUAGUAGGAUCUCAUUGUUGAUUUGCGGUUACAAAAUCCAUAGCCCUAGAGUUCAGGUAUUGUCAAUCAAUCAUUUGAUUUGCGUUUUAGAUGCUCCUAAAUCAGCUGUGGAAAUACGAUUCCCCCCGCUUCUCCUGGAUGGUUACUUAGGAUCAUUUAAGUUCAUUUUUGAGUUAUUCGUUGUGAACGUAGCGGACGAACUCUGACAGUCUAUCGAGCUUUAGCAAUUGCGUCUAUUUCUUAUUUUAUUGAUUAUAUUCAACCGUUUUAUGAGAAUUUUUGAUUUGUAUUUUUUUAUAUUCAUAAUUUACCU
rnacentral:lncRNA from 1 species